rnacentral:rRNA from 1 species
UACGUAGGGUCCGAGCGUUGUCCGGAAUUAUUGGGCGUAAAGAGCUCGUAGGCGGUUUGUCGCGUCUGCUGUGAAAUCCCGAGGCUCAACCUCGGGUCUGCAGUGGGUACGGGCAGACUGGAGUGCGGUAGGGGAGAAUGGAAUUCCUGGUGUAGCGGUGGAAUGCGCAGAUAUCAGGAGGAACACCGAUGGCGAAGGCAGUUCUCUGGGCAUGUCCUGACGCUGAGGAGCGAAAGUGUGGGGAGCGAACAGG